CCCAUUCCCCAUACUUGUACCGUGCUGCACUUUCACAGGGGGGAUGGGUUCCUGUAUUACUUGCUCAAAGAUUAUUUCUUUAAAGCUUAGAAAUUUUUAUUUGAAAAAACAAAGAAAUGGCUCUUGCACCCAAGCAUGGUGGAGCAAGUUCUUUUUUGCAGUACACUUUUAUCAAUCAGGCAGCCACGUGGUACCUUUUGUUGCUUUGUGAGUGCUGUUUUGAACUCCUGUUUCAUACUUAGGCUGUUAAUUUCGGGGAAGUGUAUGUUCCAUUUCCCCUUCUGUGCUCGAGCCCUGCUUCUGCUGCUUUGAAUUGCCCACAGCCUCUAGAGCACAGCCUAAGAGGAAAGCUCAAAAGCGUAGAAUCUAGAAAAAUAAUAAUAAUAGGUAACAUUUAUGGAGGGCCUACUAAGUCUAAGCCCUGUACAUACAUUAUUCCAUUUAAUCUUCCAUUUAACAACCAUCUGACUUAGGAACUAUCAUCAUCCCCAUUUUAUAGAUGGGGAGACUGAGCCACAGAGAGAGUGAGAUGGUCGAUCCUGACAUGCACCGGCUCCCCCUUUGUGGAUUCCACAUCCAAGGGUAUUUUGAGGGGUGAGGAGAAGCAUGUGCUCCAGGCUGACCUGGGUCAGCAAGAUUAUUUUCUAAAACAGUUGACAUCGAGAAAGAUCCCAAUUUGGUAACUGAGGCAGACGUGCUUAGGUUGUCACUGACCCUCUUUGCCAGCUGACGAGUGAACGGGCCCCCCACCUCUCUCUGCAUAACAGGCUGAACCUUGCGGAGAGUGAAGGGGGGUGCAUUUAAGUUAUGCCAGGACAGAAGACGUGAACUGGGACUGGAGCAGAUGGUCACCCCUGUUUUUGCCAGAGCAAGAGCAGACAAGGAAUAGCAAGUAUGAUGGUUUGGAGCCGCAUGCACCCCGGAAAAACAUGUUCUUAAAGCGAAUUCAUUCCUGUGAGUGAGGACCCAUUGUAAGUGGGAUCUUUUGGUGAGUGGGAUCUUAAGUUGAGAUGUGACACCUCUUUCAGGG